AAAUGCGAUCCCGUUUGCUUUGAAAAUGAUACUUGAAAUUUUGGCAGAAAAGAUGUUGGCUCAUUUCUGAAGUUCUGUUGCACAUACAUGCAUUAUAUGUUAUAAAAAUAAUCCAUCUCCAUUAGUCAUAGAUCUGUUAGGGUUUGUAGAAUCAGAAUGGGAGGAGGGGUCCCUUUUAAACAUUAUAGGUAGGAUUUCUUGCACAGUACAGGUAUUGUAUAUCCCAUAGCUAUUCCCACAUCGAUAAUAAGAGACUUCAGUCCAACGUGACAAAAAUGGGAUACCUUUGUGGAAGGAGCAUAGGGAAAGCUUGCUUUGUUGCAGGUGGCAGCAAGCUGCCACCACAGGAGUGUGAAGACUCCAUGCAGGCGGAUUCUGAACGGCAAGGAAGAGCUGGCACAGGGCCAGGAGCCAUGGCAUAUCGAAAGGCUUGGGAUCCCAAUUUCUGGCUGUCGUGGUGCUGCAAGUGUGGUGGCAGCUGGGAGCCUCUGCUUUGGACACAGACAAGAUACUGUCAGCAAUAUGAUUGGCAGCAGCUCUCUCUUUUUAGACACAGCAUCCCCUCAUUCCUGCUGAGCUUAUAUCAGCAUGCCCACCAUCUAAUCUCAGAAAUAAAUGUACAAUCUGGCAUCCCACCCUUAAAAGGUAGCUGACCCGCUGCAGUGCUGACAGCAUGGAAGAAAACACUGAGAUCCAUUAAAUUAAUUCCGUAUUCAUUGUAUGUGACUAAAUAUUAUUUAUCCGAUCUGUGUAUCAAUUUACCAACUCAUACUAUGUUUAUAGCAUCUCAAACAGCUGUUCAAAUUUGAGUUGGUAUGUGUGAAGCACCUGAAUAUCUCAAAAAGCACUGCAAAUAGGUACUAUUCGUCCAAGUAGCAUCUCUUGCAGAUAAGCUGUUUCUAAAAGGCCAUUCUGAAAUAGUUACAUUCUACGAAGUUCUAUCGAAUUUAUAUUUAUGUAAAGCAAGCACAAUUUGUGUGAUAGUUCUUGACUGCUCUUCAGAAAGCUAGAUAUUUAAUUUCAAGCAUAGGUUGCUCUGAAAGUAAUGCCUCCUAUUUAUUUCCAUGGAAACUACAACAGAUGCAAAGAGUACAAUAACACGAGUUGAUAAAGCAAAUUCUCAGUUACAAAACGCCAUCUUUCUACACAGUCACCACCAUUAGCUGUGUAUUUUUGCCAGCAAUGAGCAAGAAGGUUCAGCCUCUACUGCCAUACCACCACCAUCUGCCUCUGACAUUGUGGGCCAACAUCAUAAAAUAGGAUGCAUUACUUUUGGAGCAUCCUUUGCACUUCUGUUUAUUAAAUAUGAAUUAUAUAAACACUGAGUGAUCAAUACAUCAUAGCUUUACUGAGACGUUGAUAUGUGAUCUAAGAGUGGAGAAUAAAACCAUUUUCCUAAUAAUGCCAGCAAAUACAGUAGGAAGGACAGCCCCAUUUGUAAGGACUACUUUUGUUAAUAUAAACUUUACCUCCGUUUAAAGAGUUUGCAUGUUGUCAGUUUAGCUGGAACAGCAAAAUCAUCUUACACCUGGUGCUACAGCCACUUCUGAAAUGGUGAAUAAGAAUAUCCCAUUAAGAUCAGUCUGUUAUCCUACACAUAGCAAGGAGCCCAAAGGGUCUUGGAGCACACUGUACAAACACAGAUAACCCCAUGCAAUUUUACACUGCAGAAAAUCUCCUCAAAAGUACAGAAGUACACAGAAGAUUGAGCAGGCUGUUGUGUACAGUUUGCUACGUCACCAUUCAGUGUUUCUACUGCUGCAAAAAAUGCAAAGUGAUCUCUAAUGACCAGGUUUCUUCUCUAACAGAUUGCUUCUUUAUAUCCUUUAGGAGACGGAAUGGUAGGGGGAUGUAACGGAAUGAACUGCAAACGUAGGUGGUUUGUUGAGCUUUUUUGUUAGUGUUUGUGUAGGGUUCUGAUCCCGGUCUAACUUAAAGAAAAAAAAGAGCAAGAACAUGACAAAGCAGAGCCCCAAAAGGCAUGAAUGUGGCUCUCUGUGGAAAAGCGUGAAAACAAUUGUACCCAUUACAUGCUGGGUUUGGAACUCCGUGCAGCCUAAGCCUAUUGAAAUAUAUAUUUGUAAGCGGGAGUGGUGGGGAGGGAGGAUGCAUCGGAAUGAGGCCUGGAGCUGAAAUGCUGUCGUAAAGGCAGUAGGAGGAGAGAAGGCUAUAAACUGGCUGCCAUCCUCACAUUGAAAAAGGUCCGGAAACAUCUUAAUGCCAAAUGUCACACCUUUCGUUCCUGUUUUUCCUUAGUUUUCCAUUUAAGCAAUUCAAACUUUCCCUAUUUGUGUUACCAGUCUAUGGAAGCUGGGUUAUCUAAAGGCUUUUUGAUUUUGCUCUAUCCUAUCCUGACAAACUCCUGCUCAUUCAACCUUUAUAUGUUAAACUUUUAAUAACCAAUACGACUGCAUCAGUACUAACAAAAAAAAAAAAAAAAAGAAGAAGAAGAAAAAAAAAAGAAUCCCACACAACAGAUUUCUCAGCAUCACCACGGCCUGGGAGAACUUGCUGCAGUGACAGGAGGCAAUUUAUAAGGAAUUAACUCUGACAGUCACUUUAUACAGCUGAUUUUCAAAGAUCUGGGCACUAAAGAAGUGUUAAUGAGGGUACUGAGGCUUCAUAAUUAAUUAUAUUAGCAUCUCUUUGUUGCUCUCUAGAACAGUAGUGCCUGGUUGACAUUUCAAUGGGAAUCUGGUAGUAUUCUUUGUUAUUAUUAUCCAGGAGUACAGUUAUACCUUAGCUCCCAGAGGGCAACGUUGCAUGUAAAUGCCUCUGUGAAUUGCAAGAGUCUUUGGAUCUCAGUAAAAGCCCUUGAAGGAGACCCUGCUGGAUACUGAAUGGAUGUCAGUAAAAUUUCUCUAGUCUGGAGUCUCUCUUCAGAUAUGGACUCUCCUCCCCUUUCAUUUCUCCCUUCCCCCUUCCUUUCCACUGUGCCAGUCCUUCUCACAAGGCUUAAGAACAGCACUUUCUGAAUCUUUAGUUCCAAACCUUUAAAGGAAGGAAUACUGACCUGAACGAAACAGUGAACAGAGAAUAGAACAGUCCUCAGAAAAUAGGGAAUAUUUUUCACACGCUUGAGUUUUCAUUGCAAUAAAACCAGCACUGCCAGAAGGAAUCCCAGAAGUGAUCCCAUCUUGAGCUGUGAACUCCUCAGGCUGGAGGAGAUGGAUAUCCACAUCUGGAAGUGGCAGUAGCACAUCUGGACAGGGUCAUGGAGACUCGGCAAUUCCUGGGGGCUGUCAAACUGAUUACACGCAGCAAACCAGCCGGUGUGCCUCUGCCUGCUGCUUAGAGUAAGCACUGAUAUGUCAGUCAGACUUUACUAUCAAGUACGAGCUUAUGUGCGCUUCAAGUGUUGUUCAGCCUUCAACUCCUUGGUGUAUUCAGUCAUUUAAAAACUUUCAUACACUCUAAAAAAAAAUGUUGUCUUGCACUGCACUGCCAGGGGGAUCUUUGUUUCAAAUACAGAGCGUCAGCCUGCAAAGCUUCUGUGGAAGACCAGGCUCCCAGUGUUAAAAUGAUCCUUGUUUUCUAUUUCUAUACAAUAAUUUCUGUGAGAUUCUUCUGGAUGGAGGGCUAUAAAAACGUUAAGCUGCUAUUCAUCACGCUGACUUGCAUGAUUUUAUGUGUGCCCAUUCUGUAUAGCAGGAAUACUUAGUGGGAAAUUUAUUCUUCGCUUUUUCACACACCAUUACAUUGUAUUUGUGAGGAUUUAGCACGUUUUCUGGCUUCGCUCACCAAAUCAAGGGUCCACGUUUAAUAGGUACAGCUGAUGUUACAAAAACUAGGCACAAUUACCAAUUAUGUCUCUGUCUUGUAGUAAUAUAUCUAUCUAAAGAAAGAAACAUUGGGAGAUCUGAACUUCUGCAUCAAAGAGGAGACUGUCUUUAUGAAUAGGCCCUGUUUAUUCCAUUCUUGAGAACAACAAGCAACUACCACUAUACUCUAUGUAAACUGUAAGGCCAUUAAUCACUAUCAGGAGCUGCCAACACCCCCCAGACGUUUACAUAUACACAGAGGAAAACGAACACGAGUUUUCUUCACUUAUCUGAGCGUCACUGCCACCCCGAAGGAUGUGAAGAUCUAACUCCUUUAUUUGACAGCACGGGAGGACUCGGGCACUCAGCUGGAAAGGUACCACAGACAGUCCAGUUUUGUACCUUCAACCAUACAACUUGAAGUUCAGAGAAGAGCAGGAAUACAAACUGUAAUACCAAUGGAAAAAAGCUACUUGUGAUGCAGGCAGCAGAGCUACUUGGAUGGUGUCGUUCAGGAAAAAGAGUGAGCUGUCUAUUAUAUCUGAUAUAAUAUAUACAUAUACAGGAGAAGGGGAGAGGAGGAGGACACCAUAUUCUCCAAACGCAUUAACAUAUCUCUUAUUUCACAGGAUUGUAACUGUACAUUUUAACCCCUCAAUAGUUACUCAAGGACUGAAACUGCCUUAGGUGUUAAUUACAGAUAAUGAAAAACAUUAGGUAGAAGUGAAGGAAAGUGACUGACUAAGUAUUGAUUACAAAAACAAGUUUUUCUAAGUGGGAUGUUUGUUUUUAGUGUUAUCAUGAAAUCAAGCAUAGUCUUAUGUCUGAGCAUCACAUGUAAUUUCUGGAAAACCUUGUGUAACAGCAGAUAACUCAUGUAACAAGGCUCUAUAUCACUAGAUGCCAUUUUCCUUCCUUUUUAAUGAAACUACAUGGGCUUUAGGAUCCUUACAAAGAGGAACAGUUUCAGACUGAGUUGAGAAUUGUGCUGCUUGCUUUUUCACAAAUACUUGAGUCAUGUUCUUCCUGAGCAUAAAUGUUGACAGUGCAGCAAGAACAAACAGUAAAUCAAUUCAGUGGCAACAGCCACUAGGUGCUCUGCUUUCAUCCUUCCUUCUCAACAACUACUCUUACUCAGUGGCUUCGUUUUAUUUCAUUACAUCUCUAUAAAGCAAUGAAGGGAGUGCAGAGAAAGCAUCAUUCCAUGAGUUGCUGUCAAACUGAGCCAAGCCCCAGCAGUAUGUAAGCACCUGUUGUUGGGAGACCUUUUAUGAAUUAUACCCAAAAGUCAGACUGCAGCUGAACUGAAAGUGAGGUUCUCCUUUGAAAAGGCUGUAAAAGCAACUGGUCAGUUUGGGUGAAAGGGUAUACAUCAGUGGAACAGACAAAUCAUACUUCAGGAAUACAUACUGCUUUAUGUGUGGAAGAAGUAGUAGGGAGUAAGCAUAUGUCCCUUUGAUCAUCACAGAACUGGCUUUCAGUUAUACAGCCUACAUUUUCAAAUUGUGGACCUUGAAAGACCAAUCUAUAGAACAGAAUAGUAUAUUACCAGUGAUAAAAAGGGAAAAAAAGCAAACAUACACAGUUGCAUAGUGAAGAGAUUAAAGGAAAACAGAAGAAAGAAAAUCAUGCUGCGUACUUGAGCUUACCUUACCUUGUCUGAGUGUGAAAACAUCCAUAUUAAUCAAUCUCGGGAGAUGCAGACAGAGCACAAGAGAAGCUUUGUUGCUGUGUUGGGUAUCAGGAAGGCCUUGAGACCACCCUCGAGGGGAGAAGUUGAUCAUCUUGCAUUAAGUUGUGAUGCUUUGUUGCUUUGUCUAGCACAGGUGGCAGCUCCUCUCCUGUUUGCAUGGGGAAGCACAGUGCAAACUGUGGUUGUGCCACAGCAGUUGUGGGUGGCAGUGGGAGCAGACGUAGCUGGCAGGAAGUGACAGCAAGGAACACAAAGGAAAAAAACCUUGGGAUUUGGAAGCAAAAGGUGUGAACGGGAAGUGGGAUACUAUAGUGGUGCCUCUGAGGAGGCAGGAGCUGAUCCAGGCCUUGUUGGCUAAGUGCAUUGGAAGGGCAACUUGAGGAGGCGGCCAAGGAAAGGAAAGGGAGGCAGAGAGAAUGUGAGAAUGUUGUGUGACUGGAAAGCAAACCACAAAGGGCAAGUUUCUACUUCAUCAAAGCUGUGUCUGUUUCUUAGCUUGAUCUGCAUCAUGAUAUUCACUUGCGAGUGAUAUGCAGCAUUUUUGGUAGAAAAGAGUGGCUCAGCUGUUACUUUAAGAGCAAAACAGGGCUCACUGUAGCUAUGAGGCUGCACUGAGCUCUUCCACAACAGGUGGAAAGGGACAAAAAGGGUUAUUUAAAGGCCGCUUGCCCUGGUUGCAGUGGCAGGUGUGCUGGCAGACGCUGGGGCUCAGUGACCUUCUAGGGCUGUGCUCCCACUCCAACGGAGUGGGCUGGAUGUGACUGACAGGGCCUCUGUGCCCUCGGAACGUAACGUCUGAACUGCUGUGAGUCAUAUUCCAGCUAGAGGUGGCAGUGCAGAGGCAGCGGCCGCCAUGUCCGAGGGCCACCCCUCAGGCAGUACAGGAGAUGCCGAUGCCGGGCCAGCAGGGCCACCUCAGGCAGUGAGGCUGCUCGGGGCGGCUGCGUCUUAGGAUCGUCGGUCCCAAACACUCACGCAGACAUAUUUCCCCUCCGGGACUUCUGCCGGCCCCUCGUGACGACGUGAUCACCCCGCCACAGACGGCGUCUCCACACGGGCCAGCGGCGGCGCUAAGGAGACGCCCGCGCUUCGAGCGCGGCUCUCACGGUGAAGGUGCGCGGCCACGUGCGCUGGGUGACGGCAACGGCGGCGCGCACGCAUGCGCAUAUCGCCCUCAGCCGCUCCUCACAUGCACACCUGCGCGCGCCGCCGCCCAUCUCAUCCCCCCCGCAUCGCCUCCCUCCUUCCUUCUCUUCUCCCGCCUCUCGCGCCGUCCUCUG
ensembl:lncRNA